GGGAAUAUAGUUUAACUGGAAAAACUUUGGGGUACGAUCCUGAAGAUGCGAGUUCGAGUCUUGCUAUUCCCU
rnacentral:tRNA from 1 species